rnacentral:rRNA from 1 species
GUCGCUUUAGAAAGGGCUUUUUUCCGCCGGUAAAGUGGUGCUUUGGUGAGUAAUUGAGAUUGGAUAACCUUCCCUCGGGCGGGGGAUAACACUCCGAAAGGAGUGCUAAUAUUUCAUAAGACCUUUUCCUCGAAAGAGGAUGAGGUAAAAGCUUUUCCGUCUAUACAUAAGCUGGUACCUGAGGAUGGGUCCUUUGCCAUCAGGCAGUUGGCGGGGUAAUGGCCCACCAAACCUAAGUUUGGUAGCUGGUCUGUGAGGAUGAUCAGCCACACUGGAACUGAGAUUGAGAUGUCCAGACUCCUUUUGGAGGCAGCAGUGGGGAAUCUUGCGCAAUGGUUUAAAGUCUGUUUCAGCGUUUCCGCGUGGGUGAUGAAGGCCUUCGGGUUGUAAAGCCCCGUGGGGCGGGUUUAAUUAGUAGAAGCUAAUACCUUCUAUGAUGUUUGUAUCGCCUUAGCAAGCACCGGCUAACUCUGUGCCAGCAGCCGCGGUAAGACAGAGGGUGCAAUUUUUGUUCGGAAUUACUGGGCGUAAAGCGUGUGUAGGUUUUCCGAUGCAAGUCGGAUGUGAAAGCCCCAGGCUCAACCUGGGAAGUGCACCCGAUACUGCAUGGCUAGAGUAUCGGAGAGGUUGGUGGAAUUCUCGGUGUAGAGGUGAAAUUCGUAGAUAUCGAGAGGAACACCGGCGGCGAAUGUUUUCCGAACUGGUUUAAUACUGUUUCUGAGGCUUUAAAGCGUGGGGAGCAAACAGGAUUAGAUACCCUGGUAGUCCUUUCCGUAU